AUUGAACGCUGGCGGCAGGCCUAACACAUGCAAGUCGAACGAGUGGCGGACGGGUGAGUAAUGUCUGGGAAACUGCCUGAUGGAGGGGGAUAACUACUGGAAACGGUAGCUAAUACCGCCUACUAUCGGAUGUGCCCAUAUGGGAUUAGCUAGUAGGUGGGGUAAAGGCUCACCUAGGCGACGAUCCCUGACUGGUCUGAGAGGAUGACCAGCCACACUGGAACUGAGAAACGGUCCAGAACCCGAGGGAAGGCAGCUGUGGGGAAUAUUGCACAAUGGGCACAAGCCUGAUGCAGACAGGCCGCGUGGAGGAAGAAGGCCUUAGGGUUGUAAAGUACGUUCAGCGGGGAGGCGUUACCCGCAGAAGAAGCACCGGCUAACUCCGUGCCAGCAGCCGCGGUAAUAC
rnacentral:rRNA from 1 species